rnacentral:rRNA from 1 species
AGAGUUUGAUCAUGGCUCAGAGUGAACGCUGGCGGCAGGCCUAACACAUGCAAGUCGAACGGCAGCACAGUCCCGCAAGGGAUGGGUGGCGAGUGGCGGACGGGUGAGGAAUACAUCGGAAUCUACCUUGUCGUGGGGGAUAACGUAGGGAAACUUACGCUAAUACCGCAUACGAACUAUGGUUGAAAGCGGCGGACCGCAAGGCGUCGCGCGAUUGGAUGAGCCGAUGUCCGAUUAGCUAGUUGGCGGGGUAAAGGCCCACCAAGGCGACGAUCGGUAGCUGGUCUGAGAGGAUGAUCAGCCACACUGGAACUGAGACACGGUCCAGACUCCUACGGGAGGCAGCAGUGGGGAAUAUUGGACAAUGGGGGCAACCCUGAUCCAGCCAUGCCGCGUGUGUGAAGAAGGCCUUCGGGUUGUAAAGCACUUUUGUUCGGGAAGAAAAGCUCCCAGUUAAUACCUGGGGGUCAUGACGGUACCGAAAGAAUAAGCACCGGCUAACUUCGUGCCAGCAGCCGCGGUAAUACGAAGGGUGCAAGCGUUACUCGGAAUUACUGGGCGUAAAGCGUGCGUAGGCGGUUUGUUAAGUCUGUCGUGAAAGCCCCGGGCUCAACCUGGGAAUGGCGAUGGAUACUGGCGAGCUAGAGUACGGUAGAGGAGAGUGGAAUUCCCGGUGUAGCAGUGAAAUGCGUAGAGAUCGGGAGGAACAUCAGUUGCGAAGGCGGCUCUCUGGACCAGUACUGACGCUGAGGCACGAAAGCGUGGGGAGCAAGCAGGAUUAGAUACCCUGGUAGUCCACGCCCUAAACGAUGCGAACUGGACGUUGGGAGCAAUUAGGCUCUCAGUGUCGAAGCUAACGCGUUAAGUUCGCCGCCUGGGGAGUACGGUCGCAAGACUGAAACUCAAAGGAAUUGACGG